GGGCUCUGCUGGUCACUAAAAUGUGUCUGACGGUGAGAACAUUGAGCAGCAGAAUCAGGAGAAAUGGGACACCCGGGGUUAGAAUGUGGUGGAGGAACUCGAUUGUGAUCCAGACAAUGGAGGAUAGAACAGCUUCUGUUACCUCACAAAACCAGGGGGCGUUCACCAGCCGAUACCGAGCCGUGAACAUAAAAUACCAGAAAAUGUUCUUUAAACAGCUCAGCACAGUCACUGCUCCCAGAACCACAGCCGCCGUUUUCUCACUGCAAUAUUUACUUUUCAGCUUCUGGCAACAAAUGGCCACAAACCGAUCAAAGGUGAAAGUGACGGUGAACCAGACAGAGCAGUCACUGGCUGCAUAAAGCAGGACGGCGUGGAUAUUACACACGGGGACGGAGUCCUUCAGGAAAUAAAACUGUUCCCAAUAAACAAUGGGAAUGUGUCUCAGGAUCAGGUCGAGGAUAAUGACCAGGAGAUCCGCCGCUGCCAUGGCCCCCAGGUAUCGGUGUUUGGAACUCCGGAGUCCGGCGAAUCAAGAGAGUGGGGUUCGGGAGUGGAUCGGUAAUCGGGGGGUAUUAUCGAGCCCUAGUGACCCGGACCAUAGACCGGGCAUUUACAGGCAAAGACGAUGCUAGAUCUCCUGCACCCCCGCCCUACCAAGCUGUACUGCAUGAGUGUGCGGAUGCCUCCCAUGGGAAAAGCAGAUCGGCGGAGACUGAGACGGAGAUCGACCUAUCGCCGCCUUGUUAUGAUUUCUGAAUACGUUUGUCUUGCAUGCGUUUUCUUUUAGAACUUUCCGGGGUACUCUUGGGGGCGAACUGAAGAAGCGCUUAGAUUGGGUUUUUUUUCUCUCAUUUUUGUCGCGACGCGAAGUCUUCUACAAAUGAGGACAUCCCGCUUUUAAGAUUUUCCUGUGAGAAUGUAUAAUGGGUUGUUACAUGCAGUACAUUUGCUGAUCCCCUGCAUAGUGUCCUUUUCUGGUCACAGUGAAAGUUUGGCUGCCCUGCAGCAGAGCCUGCCCUGUCUAUUCGUGUUGACACUCCUGACAAACUUUUUGACUUGUGAUUUUGGAUCAAGUACAAGUUGCAGUUAGUACAAACCCUACACGAUGACUGCAUUUACCAAUGUCCAGCUCAAUUGUCGUGACUAGCUAAUCUCUCAUUCCUGUUGUGUUUUUGUACAGCCAGCUGUUUCCUGACUGUUUAACUCGGGUUUCAAUUGCCUUUUUGGGCGCCCCGCUGCCAGAGAUCUCUUCUCCGAGUGAAGAGCGGAAGCGGCUUUGCCGUCCUGUAUGCAAUGCACUGUUAUCAUUCUAUCUCCGGUGCAUGACAGCUGGCGCGGUGCCUUUGGUUCGGGUUCGUCUGUUCCCGUCGGGUGUUAUGGCUCACUGUACGUGUCUGUGCUUCCUCUUUUCCUCCUACUACCCAGUACUAACCCUUCUACUUCAGACCCUGGGAUUGUGAGGCCUGUUGUCCUAAGACCCCUUAACUGUUUUGUCCGUUUACAUUGGCAACACUUAAAUUUAUGUUGUAUGCUACAGUCAUGGGUUGAGGUGUGCUGUGUGCACCGGCGACUCGUCUACUGGUCACAUCAGUGACUACUACACAUCAUCCGAUAUCGCCCGAUGGAUUCGCCUGGUCUCAGGGGCCACCGGAGAGCCACUGGCCACUGCCCGGAGUUGGUCCUUGCCGCUUCUGACAUGGAUACGGUUAUCCACUGCUCAAUAAGGAAUGACUGGUUAGCCAAUGACGGGUGAGUCUCCUCAGGUGAGGGACUACCUAAGACAGGCACAGUCGCGCCUUGAAUUCGGAAGUGGUGGCCUACGUUCGUGUUUUUAUGGGAAGGCCUGGCUUUUGCGUCUGUGUCGGACAGAGCUGCAGGCCUGUGAAGCAUCCUGGCCUGCGGAAUGACCGGGGCACAGUACAGUUUUUCAAUGGGUUUCCGGUCGCUGGCGAGUACCUGACUGGUAGCGUACACUCACAACUAAUGUUUACACUUGGGGGUUCUUUGGACUUGUUAGGACGGAGCUACCGUCCCCGUGUUCGUUUGAAGGAGAGAGACACUGGAUCUUAUUCAAAAUAUAAGCUGGUUUAA